rnacentral:rRNA from 1 species
UACGUAGGGACCAAGCGUUGUUCGGAUUUACUGGGCGUAAAGGGCGCGUAGGCGGCUCGGUAAGUCACUUGUGAAAUCUCUGAGCUUAACUCAGAACGGCCAAGUGAUACUGCAGUGCUAGAGUGUGGAAGGGGCAAUCGGAAUUCUUGGUGUAGCGGUGAAAUGCGUAGAUAUCAAGAGGAACACCUGAGGUGAAGACGGGUUGCUGGGCCAACACUGACGCUGAUGCGCGAAAGCCAGGGGAGCAAACGGG